UGCUAAUUGUUCCUCACAUCUUUAGACUAGAGCAGGAUUGCAGGAUUUUAGUUCACUAGAUUGACAGGAAAUCUAAAGGUGUUGAUGUUCAUGGACUUCAUUUAGAUUGAACUGUUAAAAAUUAACUGAAGAGGUUGGAAGCUGAAGAGGAGUGUAAGAUGUUUGCCCAUUGUGCUGGGAUUCUUCUACUUGUCUUGCACGCUGCUGAUUCACAGGGGAACAAAGUAGAAAAUAUUGUGUCUCCUCUUGGAAAGACGGUAAGUAUCAACUGCAAAAAUUCAGCUAACGCUCUUGCACGGACCUUGACCUGGUACAAGGAAGGACACAACAAAAACCUGCGCGUGAUUGAUCAGAGUGACAAGAACUUGAGAAAAGAACAAAAGUGCUCCUCACACAGAUGUGAUCUGAUUAUCAACAAUGCACAAAGGAAUGCCUCUGGUGUGUAUACCUGUGUUGUAAACCCUGAGAAGAAGGUACUACCCAUGAGCAGGACAAGAGUGAUAAUCACAGAAACUUUGAAGCCAAAUCUUUCUAUCCUUGUGCCAUCCUUCUUGCAGGAUGGACCUCUGAAGCAUGAUAUCCCUCUGCUAUGCUUCCUUUUCAAUGUGAACCCUAUUUCAAAUUCUGUCAUUUGGAAUAUUAAUGGGAAAACAUAUCAGGAUGGGAUGGAUGUUGACGUGAUAGACGGGAAAGGAGCUUUCAGCAUUUGGAGCCUGAAAUUGAUUCCUCCAGAGGAGUGGCACCCAGGAAUGCCUUAUGCUUGUUCAUACCCAGGAGACAAAGUGAUCAUGCUGCAGUCUUCACAACAGGAAGUGUCCUCAAAUAGGAAGCAUCACAGAUCAAAGGUGCAGAACUAAAUCGGAGAAGCUGAAAUGUGCCUUAAAGGGAUUGAAAGUUUUACAUGAUAAAUAGAAGAUGGAAAGACUUGCAAAGAAGAAAGUGAAUGACAGAAUUUAAAGGUUUUAACUUGAAGAAUAGACGUGCUUAUGCAAUAUCCAACCUUUCCUUCCAAUAUAUCCCUGUGAUUUAUAGUCCACAAGCAUAUACUAAAGACUAAGUUGCAUUUGCCAUGACUCCAUGUGAAUUUUGAGGAGGAGGCGCUGCCUUUAUUCUGAAGUAAUUUGAACUUUAUCUCAACAAUUAUCUACGAGUUGGGUGCCUGCCAGUUUUUAUGAUAUUCAAAUGUCCAAGUAUUUCUCUUUUAUUAUAUCCAGCAGUGAUCGUGUGGAAACUAUAACACAAUGCACAACAUGUAUAAAAUUAGUUACAUGACUACCUUGCAACACUUCCUCUAUACUACCCAAAUUAGCUUGCACAAAGAUCUUUAUUUUCUCUUAGCAAAACCCUCAAGGGUAAGCUAGAUCUAGACAUAAUGGACUUUCUAAGCCUUUUGCCUAGCUGAAUAUAAUUCAAAACUAGUUCUUUCCAGGCCAGAUCCCACACCUUGUCAAUUGCUAAAAAUAUAGUGGUACCUCUAGUUACGAACGCCCCUCCUUACGAAUUUU